AUUCAGUCCACAGCAGUGAGUCAUCUUAUCUUGUAUUUUAACCCGAAACAUUAACAAAAAAAUGUUUUACUUUAAGCACUGACCCCUGUUUUGUUUGGAGGUUUCACACAGCAAAGAGCAGACAGUGUCAUAUGCUGCACUCUGUGGUUUUAGUAAAUUUCAUGUCUUCACCCUUUUUUUCAAUUUGUUGUUUUUUCCUAAAAACAAUACAAGUUUUUUGUGUGAGUUGUUUUGUAUUUUGUAAAAAAAAAAAAAGGCUUUCCCUUGAUUUAAGUUACAUGUGAGUGAAUCCACUGAUUGCAGUGAUUAAAUGAACACAUAUGGUAUGACAGUUAUGACAGUUAUAGUUUUUAUUGUUCAUCUGUUAUAAAUGCUUGUGUGACCAAGCCCUUAGUGAGAAAAUCCUAUAAGCUCAAAGCUUUUCUUACUUUUUCUUUUUAAACUAACAUUUUAGAGACUCAUUGUCAUCAUGAGUCCAGUUCAAUAAGUUACCUAGUAUCUGGACUUUGGUGUUCUAAAGUGUUAAAUCUGUUUGAUGGGGUGACCUUUUCUACCAGAGGUGAGGGAGAAGAGAAAGUAAUGGUUCUCUGGUCAGAAUGAAAGAGUUUAUAAUAUCAAGAGGGAUUGUCUUAAAACAUAAACUGAGAAGCUGGAUUAGUCAGUCUCUCAGCAGCAUUAGGUGCAGACAUCUGCCACUUCCAGCCUGUAACAUCUGAGCUGCUGCUGUAGAAAAACCACAUGACUGCAAACUUUGGUUUAUCUCUUUCUUACAUGAACUGUGAAACCCAGCCAUCAUCUGGGUGCUAUGAGCAGGUUUCAUGGUUCUUGUACUCCUGAAACAUCUCAAAACUUUACUGUACAAUAUCUAAGGUUUCUUUUUCUUUGCAUGACAACAUGGUUUGUGUUUUGCCAGCAGCAACAUAUAAGUAAUACGUGGGAAGACAAAAGUAUAGGAAAUAAACUGGGGAAGAAGAUCCUAUCCCACAUGUCCACACACAUACAAAAAACUGGUCCCAGGGAGGACCGAACUGGUCCCAGUUUUGUAGGAGGAUCAUUUGGCCAGUCAGCACAUGGAGAAAUCUCAGCGCAUGGAGCUUGUACAGAAGUGUGUGUGUGUGUGUGUGUGUGUGUGUGUGUGUGUGUGUGUGUGUGAGGGGGCUUAAGAUUGUCAA